rnacentral:rRNA from 1 species
UACGUAGGGCGCAAGCGUUGUCCGGAAUUAUUGGGCGUAAAGAGCUCGUAGGCGGCCAGUUGCGUCUGCUGUGAAAUCCCGGGGCUCAACCCCGGGCGUGCAGUGGAUACGGGCUGGCUAGAGGCAGGCAGGGGAGAACGGAAUUCCCGGUGUAGUGGUGAAAUGCGCAGAUAUCGGGAGGAACACCGGUGGCGAAGGCGGUUCUCUGGGCCUGUACUGACGCUGAGGAGCGAAAGCGUGGGGAGCGAACAGG